rnacentral:rRNA from 1 species
GGCGUGCCUAUACAUGCAAGUCGAGCGAACAGAUAAGGAGCUUGCUCCUUUGACGUUAGCGGCGGACGGGUGAGUAACACGUGGGUAACCUACCUAUAAGACUGGGAUAACUUCGGGAAACCGGAGCUAAUACCGGAUAACAUUUGGAACCGCAUGGUUCUAAAGUGAAAGAUGGUUUUGCUAUCACUUAUAGAUGGACCCGCGCCGUAUUAGCUAGUUGGUAAGGUAACGGCUUACCAAGGCGACGAUACGUAGCCGACCUGAGAGGGUGAUCGGCCACACUGGAACUGAGACACGGUCCAGACUCCUACGGGAGGCAGCAGUAGGGAAUCUUCCGCAAUGGGCGAAAGCCUGACGGAGCAACGCCGCGUGAGUGAUGAAGGGUUUCGGCUCGUAAAACUCUGUUAUUAGGGAAGAACAAACGUGUAAGUAACUGUGCACGUCUUGACGGUACCUAAUCAGAAAGCCACGGCUAACUACGUGCCAGCAGCCGCGGUAAUACGUAGGUGGCAAGCGUUAUCCGGAAUUAUUGGGCGUAAAGCGCGCGUAGGCGGUUUCUUAAGUCUGAUGUGAAAGCCCACGGCUCAACCGUGGAGGGUCAUUGGAAACUGGGAAACUUGAGUGCAGAAGAGGAAAGUGGAAUUCCAUGUGUAGCGGUGAAAUGCGCAGAGAUAUGGAGGAACACCAGUGGCGAAGGCGACUUUUCUGGUCU